CUAGCAAGACUGUUCUAUUUUAUUGUUAUUUUAUUUCUUUUACAGUCUUAAUUUACUCAUGUUUGUAUAUGACUGGGCUCUCAUAUACCACUAGUUUUUGUUUCUUUCAGAUUCAUAUGCUUUGUUUCUGAAACAUUCAUUGCCAAAUUAUUUCACAUGCAGUGCUAUUUACUUCAGUUCAUUAUAACAUCAUGAUAAGACAUUGCUGUUCAUUCAUAGUUCAUCUUCAUGGGCAAAUUGCACUGAAAUGUUGCAUUGGAUGGGAGGUUCCAGGUAGUACAUAUUCAUGAUUUAAGAUGCUGUGUUAUUUACUUAAAAUUAUUGUUUCAUUGUGAUAGGAAGUUGUCGUUCAUUCACAGCUUAUCUUUAUGGACAAAUUGCACAAAAAUGUCAGUGUUGUAUCCGUGAUGGUGUCUUAACUUGUUUACAGACUCUUGUAAAAAUAUUUUAGCCUAAAAUCAUUCUUUUUUGCUAGCUUUGGGGUGCAGGGGAUGAAAUGACCCAUAUCUUUUGGAAAUCAAUUAAAAAAAGCAAGUGAUGAGCUUUUAGCCUUUUUAUUUCAAUUUUGUGUGCUGUACUAUUUUUCUAUCAAUUUCCGCUGGAAUGCCAUGCAAUUUUUUUUUUUUGUUAUAAAAAUCACUGUACAGCCAAUUUAAUUGGUUGUUGCUUUUUGAAAUUGCUUGUUGCUUCUCAUUUAC
rnacentral:lncRNA from 1 species